AUUGAACGCUGGCGGCAGGCCUAACACAUGCAAGUCGAACGGUAACAGGAAGAAGCCUGCUUCUUUGCUGACGAGUGGCGGACGUGUGAGUAAUGUCUGGGAAACUGCCUGAUGGAGGGGGAUAACUACUGGAAACGGUAGCUAAUACCGCAUAACGUCGCAAGACCAAAGAGGGGGACCUUCGGGCCUCUUGCCAUCGGAUGUGCCCAGAUGGGAUUAGCUAGUAGGUGGGGUAACGGCUCACCUAGGCGACGAUCCCUAGCUGGUCUGAGAGGAUGACCAGCCACACUGGAACUGAGACACGGUCCAGACUCCUACGGGAGGCAGCAGUGGGGAAUAUUGCACAAUGGGCGCAAGCCUGAUGCAGCCAUGCCGCGUGUAUGAAGAAGGCCUUCGGGUUGUAAAGUACUUUCAGCGGGGAGGAAGGGAGUAAAGUUAAUACCUUUGCUCAUUGACGUUACCCGCAGAAGAAGCACCGGCUAACUCCGUG
rnacentral:rRNA from 1 species